GACGAACGCUGGCGGCGUGCUUAACACAUGCAAGUCGAACGAUGAUGCCCAGCUUGCUGGGCGGAUUAGUGGCGAACGGGUGAGUAACACGUGAGUAACCUGCCCUUGACUUCGGGAUAACUCCGGGAAACCGGGGCUAAUACCGGAUAUGAGCCGUCCUCGCAUGGGGGUGGUUGGAAAGUUUUUCGGUCAGGGAUGGGCUCGCGGCCUAUCAGCUUGUUGGUGGGGUGAUGGCCUACCAAGGCGACGACGGGUAGCCGGCCUGAGAGGGCGACCGGCCACACUGGGACUGAGACACGGCCCAGACUCCUACGGGAGGCAGCAGUGGGGAAUAUUGCACAAUGGGCGAAAGCCUGAUGCAGCGACGCCGCGUGAGGGAUGAAGGCCUUCGGGUUGUAAACCUCUUUCAGCAGGGAAGAAGCGCAAGUGACGGUACCUGCAGAAGAAGCGCCGGCUAACUACGUGCCAGCAGCCGCGGUAAUACGUAGGGCGCAAGCGUUGUCCGGAAUUAUUGGGCGUAAAGAGCUCGUAGGCGGUUUGUCGCGUCUGGUGUGAAAACUCGAGGCUCAGCCUCGAGCUUGCAUCGGGUACGGGCAGACUAGAGUGCGGUAGGGGAGACUGGAAUUCCUGGUGUAGCGGUGGAAUGCGCAGAUAUCAGGAGGAACACCGAUGGCGAAGGCAGGUCUCUGGGCCGCAACUGACGCUGAGGAGCGAAAGCAUGGGGAGCGAACAGG
rnacentral:rRNA from 1 species